rnacentral:rRNA from 1 species
CCUACGGGAGGCAGCAGUGGGGGAUAUUGCACAAUGGGGGGAACCCUGAUGCAGCGACGCCGCGUGGGUGAAGAAGCGCCUCGGCGCGUAAAGCCCUGUCAGCAGGGAAGAAAAUGACGGUACCUGAAGAAGAAGCCCCGGCUAACUACGUGCCAGCAGCCGCGGGAAUACGUAGGGGGGAAGCGGUAUCCGGAUUUACUGGGUGUAAAGGGGGCGCAGACGGCGAUGCAAGCCAGGAGUGAAGGCCCGGGGCCCAACCCCGGGACUGCUCUGGGGACUGCGAGGCUGGAGGGCGGGAGAGGGAGGCGGAAUUCCUGGUGUAGCGGUGAAAGGCGUAGAUAUCAGGAGGAACACCGGUGGCGAAGGCGGCCUGCUGGGCUGCAACUGACGUUGAGGCCCGAAAGCGUGGGGAGCAAACAGGAUUAGAUACCCGUGUAGUC